rnacentral:rRNA from 1 species
UAACGCGUGGAUAACCUGCCGUAUACAGGGGGAUAACACUUAGAAAUAGGUGCUAAUACCGCAUAAGCGCACAGCUUUGCAUGAAGCAGUGUGAAAAGCAAAAAGUUAAAACUUUAGCGGUAUACGAUGGAUCCGCGUCUGAUUAGCCAGUUGGCGGGGUAACGGCCCACCAAAGCGACGAUCAGUAGCCGGCCUGAGAGGGCGGACGGCCACAUUGGGACUGAGACACGGCCCAGACUCCUACGGAAGGCAGCAG